rnacentral:tmRNA from 1 species
GGGGGCGUAAAGGUUUCGACAGGGAGUGUGAGCUUCGGCAAGCGAGCAGCGGCACUGCAGAACCGCUAUAAAAUCCGCAGAACUUAAAAUUAAAUGACAACUAUAAAACAGUUGAUCUUGUCGCUGCUUAAUUAGCGCAAGCGUUCUUAUCGGAAGCACCACGGUCCUUUAAGAGCGUCGAUUAGUGGUGAACGUGAACGGAGAAGUGCCUUGGUUUCCGUCAUGAAUCAGAGGCUACUGAAAUACAGAGUUUGUCAUCGGACGCUGUGUGGAGGGAAUGUUAAAACGGUGACUGCGCUCGGAGAAAACCGUUGUAAGUGCUUUUUGGACAGGGGUUCGACUCCCCUCGCCUCCA